CCUACGGGAGGCAGCAGUAGGGAAUCUUCCACAAUGGGCGAAAGCCUGAUGGAGCAACGCCGCGUGGGUGAAGAAGGUCUUCGGAUCGUAAAACCCUGUUGUUAGAGAAGAAAGUGCGUGAGAGUAACUGUUCACGUUUCGACGGUAUCUAACCAGAAAGCCACGGCUAACUACGUGCCAGCAGCCGCGGUAAUACGUAGGUGGCAAGCGUUAUCCGGAUUUAUUGGGCGUAAAGGGAACGCAGGCGGUCUUUUAAGUCUGAUGUGAAAGCCUUGGGGUUAACCGGAGUAGUGCAUUGGAAACUAGGAGACUAGAGUGAAGAAGAGGAGAGUGGAACUCCAUGUGUAGCGGUGAAAUGCGUAGAUAUAUGGAAGAACACCAGUGGCGAAGGCGGCUCUCUGGUCUGUAACUGACGCUGAGGUUCGAAAGCGUGGGUAGCAAACAGGAUUAGAUACCCUUGUAGUC
rnacentral:rRNA from 1 species